CGUAGGGUGCAAGCGUUAAUCGGAAUUACUGGGCGUAAAGCGUGCGCAGGCGGUUAUGUAAGACAGUUGUGAAAUCCCCGGGCUCAACCUGGGAACUGCAUCUGUGACUGCAUAGCUAGAGUACGGUAGAGGGGGAUGGAAUUCCGCGUGUAGCAGUGAAAUGCGUAGAUAUGCGGAGGAACACCGAUGGCGAAGGCAAUCCCCUGGACCUGUACUGGCGCUCAUGCACGAAAGCGUGGGGAGCAAACAGGAUUAGAUACCCUGGUAGUCCACGCCCUAAACGAUGUCAACUGGUUGUUGGGUCUUCACUGACUCAGUAACGAAGCUAACGCGUGAAGUUGACCGCCUGGGGAGUACGGCCGCAAGGUUG
rnacentral:rRNA from 1 species